rnacentral:rRNA from 1 species
GUGUGACUGCGUACCUUUUGUAUAAUGGGUCAGCGACUUAUAUUCUGUAGCAAGGUUAACCGAAUAGGGGAGCCGAAGGGAAACCGAGUCUUAACUGGGCGUUAAGUUGCAGGGUAUAGACCCGAAACCCGGUGAUCUAGCCAUGGGCAGGUUGAAGGUUGGGUAACACUAACUGGAGGACCGAACCGACUAAUGUUGAAAAAUUAGCGGAUGACUUGUGGCUGGGGGUGAAAGGCCAAUCAAACCGGGAGAUAGCUGGUUCUCCCCGAAAGCUAUUUAGGUAGCGCCUCGUGAAUUCAUCUCCGGGGGUAGAGCACUGUUUCGGCAAGGGGGUCAUCCCGACUUACCAACCCGAUGCAAACUGCGAAUACCGGAGAAUGUUAUCACGGGAGACACACGGCGGGUGCUAACGUCCGUCGUGAAGAGGGAAACAACCCAGACCGCCAGCUAAGGUCCCAAAGUCAUGGUUAAGUGGGAAACGAUGUGGGAAGGCCCAGACAGCCAGGAUGUUGGCUUAGAAGCAGCCAUCAUUUAAAGAAAGCGUAAUAGCUCACUGGUCGAGUCGGCCUGCGCGGAAGAUGUAACGGGGCUAAACCAUGCACCGAAGCUGCGGCAGCGACGCUUAUGCGUUGUUGGGUAGGGGAGCGUUCUGUAAGCCUGUGAAGGUGUACUGUGAGGUAUGCUGGAGGUAUCAGAAGUGCGAAUGCUGACAUAAGUAACGAUAAAGCGGGUGAAAAGCCCGCUCGCCGGAAGACCAAGGGUUCCUGUCCAACGUUAAUCGGGGCAGGGUGAGUCGACCCCUAAGGCGAGGCCGAAAGGCGUAGUCGAUGGGAAACAGGUUAAUAUUCCUGUACUUGGUGUUACUGCGAAGGGGGGACGGAGAAGGCUAUGUUGGCCGGGCGACGGUUGUCCCGGUUUAAGCGUGUAGGCUGGUUUUCCAGGCAAAUCCGGAAAAUCAAGGCUGAGGCGUGAUGACGAGGCACUACGGUGCUGAAGCAACAAAUGCCCUGCUUCCAGGAAAAGCCUCUAAGCAUCAGGUAACAUCAAAUCGUACCCCAAACCGACACAGGUGGUCAGGUAGAGAAUACCAAGGCGCUUGAGAGAACUCGGGUGAAGGAACUAGGCAAAAUGGUGCCGUAACUUCGGGAGAAGGCACGCUGAUAUGUAGGUGAAGUCCCUCGCGGAUGGAGCUGAAAUCAGUCGAAGAUACCAGCUGGCUGCAACUGUUUAUUAAAAACACAGCACUGUGCAAACACGAAAGUGGACGUAUACGGUGUGACGCCUGCCCGGUGCCGGAAGGUUAAUUGAUGGGGUUAGCGCAAGCGAAGCUCUUGAUCGAAGCCCCGGUAAACGGCGGCCGUAACUAUAACGGUCCUAAGGUAGCGAAAUUCCUUGUCGGGUAAGUUCCGACCUGCACGAAUGGCGUAAUGAUGGCCAGGCUGUCUCCACCCGAGACUCAGUGAAAUUGAACUCGCUGUGAAGAUGCAGUGUACCCGCGGCAAGACGGAAAGACCCCGUGAACCUUUACUAUAGCUUGACACUGAACAUUGAGCCUUGAUGUGUAGGAUAGGUGGGAGGCUUUGAAGUGUGGACGCCAGUCUGCAUGGAGCCGACCUUGAAAUACCACCCUUUAAUGUUUGAUGUUCUAACGUUGACCCGU